UGCUUCUUGAAGGCUUACAAUGUUAGGUUAAUUAUUCGCUUUUAGUAUGCAUUUUGAUUUCCCGCGGGGCUAGGAAAAUGCAGAAAUACUGUCCUAACCACAAUAAUACUUGUCUUCACCAUGUUUCUAGCCCACAGAAACACAAGAGAUCUCCUUGAGAAUCCUGAUCCCAACAGACUUCCAGGCUUUUUCUCAGAGAGUAGAGCACAGACAAAACACGGUUUAUGAAGUGACAGCAUACAGCCCUCCUGAAAAUUACGCAAAUCUGGGUCUAUACCCAUGCCAUUACUGACUAGAUGUCUUGCUGAACCAGGAAGGAGUAUUCUGCAUGGAUGUUCUUCUGAAGCAGAGGGCUUCUGGACACCAAGGACUGCUCAGUGAAAUGAUGCUGGGAUGCUCCAUGGUCAUCUUCACCUGCAGGGAAGGCAAGUGAAUUUCUAAGGGAUUCAUGGAUGAUGUGUGUGAGUACUGGGAAAGUUCUGCAGCAGAUAUUAGUGGUGGGUAGAUCUCCGCAACUCUCUGUCCAAAUUAAUAGAAUGAUGUCAUGCUUAUGUUUUCUCUGCAGAAAUAUAUACAUUUCAUUUAAUUCUGUGGCCAAAUGUGUCUCACUGAUUGCUGUUUUUUUGUUUGUUUGUUUGUUUCCCUUUUUCUUUGUUUCUUUGUUUUGUUUUGUUUUGUUUUGUUUUGUUUUGUUUUGUUUUACAACACAUCUUCAUAUUAUACCCUCUGUGGAUGCUAGCAGAAGGCUGUAUUGCUUGUGACCCCCUGAAAGAAGGCCAUGUCCUCUUUCUACUUUGACACAUUUUUAUGCUUUAAACAUAUGGUGAUCUAACAUGGUUUAGUCUGCAUGGCAAUGUACAGUGCCAUUGUACAGUGUACAGUGUACAAAAUCCAGACUGUUUUUGAACAGAAUACUUAUGAGCAUAAUUUCAUGUAUUUUUAUCAUAUUUGAAGUAGCAAAUAUGAAGUACCCUCUUAGGGCAGCAACAUUAUGAAAAGUCUCACGUGCUUGGAAAUACUUCAAAUGCACUACAUUUGAACAGAAUAUGCUUCCUACAGAAUUAAGUAAAAUCUCUUCUUGACAAUUUACAUUAUUUUUUUCCUUUACAUAAAUUCUGUAAGUUAAAGGUGAGAUACUUUUUCUCCACAUUUAGUAAACUGUAGCAAUGGGUCUGAAGCCCCAGUAGUCUGAUUUUAACAAUAAAACAUCUUUGACAGCAGUCAAGAUAGCGCUGAAGAAGUUCCAAGAUGUAGAAACAGGGGUGAUGCAGUCUAUGAGAAACAUAUUCUGCUUUUCCAUCCCAGGUCAUACUUUCUGAAAGUGCUACUGUAUCUCGCUCAUGUGCAGGCACUGUGUGGCUGAGCUGCAUACAGUCCUUUCAAAUAUAGAUCUUGCGGAUCUACUGAAUUUGCAAAUAUGAAUUUUCUUUGAGUGUUGCCCUAUUCUCUAUUUUACUCUAGCCUCCUAUAAAGAGAUGAAGGAUCUACAGUUGGAAGAGGCAUAAAGCCAGACCUCUAUUCAGUAACAUGCAAUGUCAAGGUGAAAAUUCUUGGUAGUUUGCUUGUAUAGAUGAAGUGAUGCUGUAAUUUGCAUCAAAUACAAAAUGAAUUAAGCUUUAUAUUUUCUCUGCCUCCACUGCAUCACAGAGAGGGGAUUCUACAGAUGUAAAAAGCUAAAACAGGCACACAGGAGGCAAAACCAAUAUUGUGACUGGUCAGCAAUUACUUGAAGUUAAUUCUGAUCCUGUCACCUUUGGUUUCAAAAUCUCUGAGAUCCCAGGAGAGUUUACAACACCAGGAUCACCAUGUAUCCAGAGAGUCAAAAAUGGACAAGACAGUAGAAAAAAAGCCCAAACCACAAUUCCUCACUUGCACUCUAUCCCUUCUUCCACAUAAGCUGUAUUGUAAAACUAACAAUGUUGCUGCAUUGAAGAUUUUUGAAUAUGUGAAGUCUUAUUCUUGCUGGAGAGAAAAAGCAUGGUAUUAAGCAACAAUUUAUUUAUUAUUUAUGCUUUUUUUUUUUUUCCAAAAAGAAAUCACAAACAGCUUCAUCCUCUCUCUGUUCAAGUCCAAGGGAAAGAGCCCAAUCAAAAUCUCAAAUCUACUAUAGACUUGUUAGCUACAGGCUGCCACUAACCAUGAUAAUUUACAUGUGGAUGAAAGUGUGUAUUGUUUGAUUUUAGUUAUAAAGAGGAUAAAACUGGACAUGGCCAGUUUUAAAUUGGACUGACGCCAGAGAUAUGACACUGAGAUAGGAGUUCAGGAUGAGCGGACUGAAAAAUAGGCCUUUUCCCUCAGUCCUGUGAAGACUUCCCAUGACGCUUUUACCAAAGGAAUAGUAGCAACAGAAGCACUGAAGAAAAGAAUGAUUACCUUGGGGUCACUGAAGGAGGCCAUGUAGCUUUUGAGCCCAUAUUAGAUUUGUUACAGAUCACAUUCAUUUCCCAGGUCAGAGAUCUGAGUUGUGAGCCCAAAGGAAAUUCCAUAUCAAUUUCUACUUUGGAGAGUUUACUUUUACAGUGGGAGCUUUAUGCCAGAUUAGUUGAGUAAUCCAUAGGCCCUUGGUUAAUGGUAGGAGGUUACUUGAUAUUCUAGAGGUUUCUCUUCAUAACUUCAAAUAUAAUUUCUUUAGCUACACAAGUCACUUGAUUUUUAAUUGGAAAAGUGACUCAUUUGAGUUUUUAAUUUGAAAAAAAAAUAAAUAAAUCACAGAAUUUACACUUCUUUAUUCUCAAAAUAUAGGACAACUUUACUUCAAAGGCACCACCCCUAGAUGUGCUCACAAUCACAGCCUGUGUCUGGGGGUUCCAGUACCCUGACUCUUAUUAUUGUAGCUCAGCUUAUGAUGUGCAUGAACAGAAGAUAAAAUGCACUCAAUUUCAGUAACUCGCACCUUCAUUUGUUUGACAUCAGCAUGCUCUUUAUGCACAAAUUUCAAACUUCUAUUUUUUUUGAUUUAGCAUUGAGAGAACAAUUUCAUUCUGUUAUUCGAUUAAAAAAAAAUCUGAAAUCUGGGUUCACAUUUCUGUUCUUAAAUUUAUGAAUGACUAACAAAAGACUUUAUCAGUGUGAGUUUCUACUUACAUAUCAUUGUUAUAUUGGCAACCCUUAGUCAGUAGUCCCACAAAUAGUUUAUUUUGGCAUGAACCCCACACUGCUGCUGAAACAAACAAUCCCACCUUCCCACUACUUGUUCCCACCCAUACCUUCUCUCUUGAGUUGGCAUCAAUGUCUACACAGCUGCAUGGUGAACAGAUAUGCUUUCUUUGCAAAGUAUUUCUUGGCUGGGACUAGAGGGCUUUCAGCAGUUACUACAUUUGAUGGUGACGCUGGCAGCACUAGCUGAAAGUGCUUACGGGAUGAGAAAAGCUAUGCAUGCACAAACUGCAGUAGCAAAUGCUUUCAUUAGCCUUUUAAUACAAGGUUAGAAAUUAUUAGAGUCAAGUUAAUUGGACUGUAUCCCCUCAUUAUCAAAAAAAGUGCUUAUCACUACCUACCUAUGUGCAAUACUUCAAGAGCAUUGUGAAUUUUGACAAGAUCUGUAAGCACAAAUUCUUCCAACGAAACUGUAGAUGUCCUCACAACAGAAAACACAUAAAACUCUGUGAAACUCAAGCCUAUAGAUACCAAACUUCAUGUAUUAAGCAGACAUGGUGUGCUUCAAACUUUCCAGCUAUUUUUAUUUCUCAGUGUUUAGGUAUAUAGGCUUAGAGGAAGGGACAGGACUACUCAUAGGAUUAGCUAUAAAUUCUGAUCAGUCAGGAAAACCUGAACUUCAGUAGUGGUAUUACGCCGAGUGUCCUGUUUAAGCAAAGAUACAUUUCUGUAUUUUACUCAAUACUUAAUAACUUUCAUCACCACUUUCCAUUUGUAUCAGUACUGCAUAAUAUAAUGGAGGGACAUUUGUUCUCUAAAAAGAUUUGCAAGUCCUAGAUCCCUAUAAAGUUGCUGUGCAACAGUACAGCAGCAUAUGGUUCUCUCCAGUCAAUGAAAGGCUGUUGAAGAAGGAAUCACUGCUGUCUUACCUUCUGAGCAAACUACAGUUGGGAACACGAAUGCCUAGGUCCUGCUGCUGCCUAGGAAAAGAGGUAACAGUUCCCUGGUUUUGGCUAUAUAGUGAAAGCUGAAAGAUAAAAAUUGAAGAGUCCAGUAGAAGUCCAGGUUAAGAAAGGGAAGACCAGAAAUAUGCUGAGGCUGGAAUGUGGUGGUGGAAAAAUAAUUGGAAGAUCUGCCCAAAUUAAAAAUAAAUAAUAAUAAUAAUAAUUCUGCUCAAGUAUAAUUUAUACUGACAAGGUUUACAUGAGAGCUGGAAAAAAAAUUGCCAUAAGUGCACUAUGUCUUUACCAAACUGCACUGUUUUUACCAAAUAUAUUAUUAUCUCCAUGGUAGAGAUAUCUGUUAAGUCAUCUGAGUUAAUCCAACAACAACAUUUUAGUGCUUCUGGCCAUGGAAGGAUUAUUCUUUUAAUAUGCAGGGGGUUGUUUGUUUGUUGUGUGUGUCUGUUUUUGUUUUGCUUUUCUUAUUUUUAAAAUUUUAAUACUAUUGAAUAGUAUUAUUCCAAAUAUAUCACUGCAAAAGCGGAAACCUUUCAGAAAACUUUAUGGCUUGUAUCAUGCAAAUGUUGUGUUAACAUGUUUGGAUUCAGUUUGUGAAACAUUUGCAACAAUUUACUCCAUUUGUAAUUUUGAAGUGCAAAAGAAGAGAAACUCUAGGGAUGCAGAAAGAUCCAUGUUCUCACCACGUAUCUAAAGAGAGUGUUGCAGAGGGAAAGACCACACAAGACCUCUCUAGUUAUUGCUGUAUCUAUUUUAAAAAGUCAUCAUUUCUCCAUAUAAGGACUCAUGUUGUAUGUUCAAAGACUGCAUUUUGUAUUCACAAAUGUAUAACAAAGCAUCUGGAUCACUCAUCUACUUCAUUGCUUUUUUAUUAUUUUUCUUAGAAUGUCAUUGAUAAAGUGCUGAGCAGGUCCAGGAGGUCCCAGAAGCCUGAGUGGUCAUAUUUCCAGUUGGCCAUGCGGUCCAGAGCAUAGCAAGCGGCAACAAGACAGAAAAAGUUAGAUAUCUAAUCUAGUCACAGAGUGAAGCUUCCUCCUGAAGCUCCACAGCUGUCUCUAGACAGCAUGGUAUGAGAAUUAACUGGUGGGAAAGACCUGAACUGCCUCUGUCUCUUCAUUAGCUAUGGAAGAUGCCUAGGCCACAAGUUAGCCUAACACUUGGACUGGUAAAUUUAGGCAAAAGGACUCCCACUUUGUUUUUGUGACAGACCUCAGAUAAGAAGCUAGUCAAAGAAAUUUCAGGUACUGUAGCAGGUUUUGCCACCACUCUGUGCUGCUACUUCAGUUUACAGCCUUAUUAACCCUUAUCUUAGUUCUUCUAGUUCCUGCAAUGCCCUCAAAAUCUCCCCUGAGAAGUCAAUGUCACUUUGGCUCACAAGGCUUUGUGACUCAUAUGCAGCAAACAGUGUCUGGCACACAUCAGCAUCAUAAUUUCUCUCAGUUGUCAAUAUUCCUGCAUUGCUUAGGACACCAACAGUCUCAGGGUUUUACUGGGUGAGAAAGCCACAUUUCCUGCAUUGUUUCUGUUGUCUCAAAGUGCAUGCUGAAAUCUCAGGUUGCCUGUUAUGCAUGAUUAGCUUUUUCAUCUUCUCUCAGGACAUGAAAAAUUUAUUUCCUCCUAUAUUAUCAGCUGUGUUGAACUAAAUUGAUGUCUAGUCUACUUUAAAAUCAGUUGUCCAGCGAUUUUAGAAAUCUUCCUGGGUCCCUGGGUUUGUUCUGUUAAACUGAAAUCACUCUAAUAAUGUGACACAACAGUGCAUGGCCAUCCUUUUGCUUCAGCUUGGAGGUACUGUUAACAGAAACUUCACUGCAUGUUCUUCAUAUGCUGAACAUGUGCAGUGCAAUGGUUUCAAACUCAACUGCAUAGGCUCUCAUCUUUAAUUGAUUUCAGCUGUAACAUUCAUAAAAAAGCUUACCCUAGUCAAUCAAGGCACAAGACAUAAGGAUUUUCAUUGGUGAAUAUAUAUUCACCUAAUUUGGUGAUCUAGAUAGCUCAACGAGUACUUUAUGGAUCAACCAGAAUUUCUUUUAUUAUAAUACUUAAUGACUACUGAUUAGUUCCCCUUAAAAGUAAUUUAGAAGGAAAAAAAAAAAAAAAGGCAAUGCAGUAAGACAAUCAAACAACUCUCUUUCCACUCCUCCCUUCCCCUGAUACACAAUUAUCACUCAGAGAGAUACCAAAAAUACUUGCUGGGGGCUAUAACAAACAAACCUCCAUUAAUCAUCUCUUGUACUUUUCUUGUUAAUAUCUGAAGAAAGGAAAUAAUUGCUUAGAGUAGGUCUGGUGCCAAAACAACAUCUCAAAAUACAUGCUUGUAUACAUAUACACCUCCAGAUGUUCUGGCAUGAAACUAAUUUAUAUUUAGUGGCUAUGAAACUCUUGCACGGAGACUUUUCUUCCUCAGUCUGUAGGUGAUGCAGAGAGGAAUCUCAUAAAUCGUAAGUUCUUCUUCCUUCCCCAAAAUGUCUCUUGAGGAUUAUGGACCUCAAGAAUAUAUGUAAAUUUUUCAAGACUAAAUUACUGUGCUAAAGGGAAGAUAUUGUCCUUCCAGAUUACCAUUUUUUCUUAGUAAAACUAACCUAAGGAUUCUUUAAGUCACCUUUCUCCAUCAGCAUAUCCAGCAAAUUAACAUCUUCACAAUUGUUUUAUCUCCAAUCCAACAUGCAAGUUUGUUCUCAUGCUAUGAAACAUGUUUCUGUCUAAGCAUCCGCUUUGAGGCAAGGACUGAGGAUAGUCCUCAGCACAACACCUUUUCUGAAUUCUCCAACGCUUUGACUUCCUGUUGGGGAUGCAAAUAUUUUCCUAUAUUCUCCAAUUCCAGAGAUCUAUACCAUGGUAUUUCUAAUUUUCAAAUAACAGUAUUUUGUUCCCCUGUCACCAGAAAAGUACUCACAAGACGAAGAUUAGCCCAGCGAGCCUGAUUUCCCCAGACUACCCCAAGAGUCAAUGGUGAAACAGGUUUUACCAGGGUCAAGCAAGAUAAUUUAAUUCAGCUCUUCUGAAUGAUUGUUUAGAAAAAUGCAGGGGGUUUCACUGCACAGAGUCUAGGGAGAUCAAUCCUACCAGGUUAAGACAGUUUUUUUGAAUGCCUUCCAAAGUGUUUUGGAAAUUCCUGUCAAGCUUUUCUGUCCUUUAAAAUGCUAUACAGUUGAUUUCAAAGAAAAACAUCCUCUGCAUUACCUCACGUUGUGUGUAGUCAUCUCUAUCAAACAACCCUGCAGUCUGCUUGGUGUAACCUUCCCUAUUUAAUGAAUACAUCAUUACAUCCUCCUCAAAGCGUGCAGUCUGCUGGCCUGCUGAAUAAUGUAUCAUGCCUGUACAGUUCUGAUUGCCUGGCACUUUGGCACUUUGGGAGCUGGAGAGGAAACCUGAUGGUUCACAUUCUGUGUUUACGUUGGUGAAUGUUCUUGGAGUUCAACUGGGAAAGGAAGUGGGCAGUAUUGGUCCUGAAUCCUCAGAUCCUCAGUCUAACCCAGAGUAAUUGCUCUUUGCGUUUUUUUUUUUUUUUUUUUUUUUAAGAUUGUAUAACUUCCACAAAUGGAAUGGGUGUUGUCUGCAUAUUUCUGUGGAUUUAAUAAAAACGCGGCUAAAAACUCUGGAUUUUUGUUCUCUUUUCAAGGUUAAGAAAUAAUAAACAUUACAAAUUUUAAUAAGUUCACUAAUGUCAUCAUGCAGCCAGGUUAAAAAAGGAUUUUAAUUUUAUUUCAAAAAAUACCUUAACAUUCACCCAUCUCUAUGUGAAUAAAAGUUUUUUUCCUUUUUUUUUUUUUUUUUUUGUUUGUUUGUUUUAAUUUUAAGAUUUCUGCUGUAUGUAGAAUGUGGGGAAAACCGAAAACAUUUUUGCCCUAAGAAUUGAAAAAGAAUAAAACAAAAUU